GCAAUAUUGGCUGAGUAAGGCGCAGACUCUAAGCUUCUGUUACGUGUAAUCCUACACAUAUUGCA
rnacentral:tRNA from 1 species